rnacentral:lncRNA from 1 species
GUUGCCUUUUUUGUUUGCACAGUAGCUGUCAAUUCCAGCCUUGCAGGAUCAUUAAAAGAGAAACCUGUAAAGGCAACAUUCCUGUAACCGAGUUGGUGCUGCAACGUGCUGGUAAGAAAACAUAUUUAUUUUUUUUUAUCCUUUUUUUUUUUUUUUUUUCUUUUCCUUUUUUUUUAGAGAAACCUGCUUUGUCUGUCUAAUGCAGUCAUAAGCGUGGCUUCCCUGCCGUGAGGGGUUAGCAUGUAAUGAAAAGGUGUAAUUGCCUGAUAUGUGACCUUCGCGUCAUAUGUAUAAUGGGUAAUAACAGAUCCGUGUGUACCCUGAUGAUGCUUCUCUCCGCGAAUUGAUGAGUCGCCCAGUUGCAACAGGGCUAGGACUGUCGCACCAUGGCAAGGAGUUGUUGCUCGUUUAAGGCUGGCAUUUCCGUGUCCUGUCGGGGGGGGAGAAUUCUUGAGUUCUCCAAGUUAUUUGCUUGCAGAGGUGUCGUGGGUUUUAAUAGGUCUCUGACAGACUGUAAGUGCUUUGUUAUUUACUCUCCAGACAGGAAGUACAAUGAUGAAACUUUUUUUUUAAAGUAACCCUGUAAUUAUCCUAGACUUCCUUAGUCCAGAUAAUGAGGAGACCAAAGUGAGUUCUGGGUAGCGUUAUUUUAAUCCCUUUCAUCUACAACUCAUCAGGAGUUCAUUAGACAAUCGACGGGACAGCCUAGAUCAUCGGGGGACUGAGAACUUGAGAGGGCCACUUUUUUCUUGAAAAGGACGAAUUUUAAUUCAGCCCAAUUAAAUGCAACAAGUAUUUCUGUAUACAUCACCUGGGACUAGAACAGAGAAUGUUCUUGUCUGAUAGUCUGUUGCGGGAAGAGAUGUCCAGCAGUCGGCUUUGCAUGCUACUGUGAGGACUGAUCAGAUCAUUUAAGACACGUUUCAAAUGCAGGACUGUUGACGAUGAGAUAGUUGCCAAGGUGAAGUCUCUGACAACCAAUGUACUUCUCUUCCUCCUGUUCAGGCACAUUUAUGUCAAUUUGCAACGAUGCUUAGCACAUUUUUUACUGCAUUUUAAAAUUAUAAGGAGAGGAGAUAACAUAGAAAUCUUUUCUUUCUUAAAAUCCUAUAUCCUUGUGGCAAAGUUUGAGCUUUUACCCCAGUGCUGGCCUCAGAAGCUAGAAGACACAAGGACAGGUUUAGAUUGGAAAAUGAGUGUUCUUGGACUGAGGUCAAGAAACUUAGGAACAGAUAUUUUUCCUUUACAGCCUUUAAAAACACACGUAAAAUAUCAAGGGGUAUUUUUGUCUGUGUUCCAUGGUUGUCUGUAAACUGUGGUCAUUUUUGGUUUUGUGCCUUUUGUUUUCGGUUUUUAGUUAGAUAAGUAAAAAUGGACCAGAAAGAUGGUCAAAAGAGAAUGUAGUUACCCAAUAUCCAUUAAGACCUUUUCCUAAAGAAAAAAAAAAUCUCUCCUUUGGACGUUUGAAGAUUGUAUGCCAUGUGCAUCUGGUAGGGAAUGUGGCAGUCUACAUCCUGGUAACAUUUGGUCUCUCGUCUCUGGAGCUAUUCUAUCUAAUUGUGUCAUUUCUACAUUUAAACAACUCUGAACCGUGCCGCCCUGCAGGUCCUCACCGUUGGCCCCCAGAUCACUUGCAAUGUCUAAAAAGACCUUGGAACAUUAGAAAAUGUCAAUUGUUGGAAUAAUUUCUGCCUCUCAUAACAAGAGAAAAUACUGUGGAUUUAAUAGUUCGUUUCUAAAAUCCAUUUUUAUCCACCAGUAACUGUCUAUUAGGAACAUUUCCGUUAUAAUUGGAAUAAAUUGUUGCCCAGUAACAAGCAACUAACUCUGAAGCUACUUGCCAUAGAAAUCAGUGACUAGAAAUAGCUACAAAGAGCUUAAUGCAAGUCAAACCGCAGCACUUGCAUUUCUUAAUUUUUUCAAAAAAAAAGUAUUCAAUUUUUAAUAGUUUUAUUCUGCUACUUAAAUUCUUGACUUUUUUUUACUCAAGGUCCCUCUUCUAGGAAAAUUUCUAAUUGACCCAAAUCCCUGGUGUGAAAAAUAGAGGCCCAUAGACCUUUGGAGAAAAAUGUUUUUUCUUUCUGACUCAAAAUAAGAAUAGGAGAGGAUGAGCAUACUCUCUCAGACUAUGAACGUGAAGAAGAUUCUGGGCCAGCAACACCAUUACAUGUGAAGAACGGCUAUCAUCUCUUGCAGAACGUAAUGCAAAAUUACAGGUUUCACUGUAGGACUCUGUCAUUUGAACGAGUAAUCAGUCCAUAAUUCCAUAGAUUGCUGCAGGUAAAUGAUGCUUCUCCCCAUUAAUAAAAUAUGGAAUAACACUGAAGUUACUUUAGUUAGAUUUUUACCCUAUCCAUUUUUUUUUCCAAGAGAAACAGAUCCUCAUAAACCCAAAUCCUGAUAUUGAAAUAUACUUAAUACCAGAAUGUAUUUUCUUCUUCCCUAGCUGAAGGAUGAUAAUAUUACAGUUUCAAGGGCAAAUUUCUUCAACAAUGGUUCUGCAUUUUCCAUUUAGCUCUGGCGGCAGUGGGGGAUAGUUUUCAACCUUCUAAUUGCACACAUGUUGGGAUGAAAAAACACUGUUAUUUUAAACACAGACACACAAACAGACAAAAUUAUAAACACUAGCAUGAAAAUAUCUAGCAAAUAUAAAGGUGUAAGUAGUGCUUUCUGAAAAUAUGACUGUCGAUAUUUGCUCAGCUCAGUAUCAAUGUUGACAGGGUAUCAACUAUUUUAGAAUCUAUGGGAGCACUAAGAAUGAAAAAGCCCUAUCUUGGCCAUCCAGGGAAUGACAGUGUAGUGGAAGUUUAGCUGGUGGCCUAGAAAGCAAUUUGAUUAAUUGGCCUGUGAGGAAUUUUACAUUGUGUAUGGUUCUCGGGAUCAAAUAAAAUUAUAAUGUAUUGUUAUGACCUCUUAGAACAGGCGUAUUCUUUACUUUCCAUUUUUGCUUUAGUUCUUCUGUUGGCACAUAUGUGUUUUCUACUUCUUGUGUCUUUAAAAGGUUGUUCCUAUUAGACAAAUAGUCAGUAUCUGUAUUUUUUCCACUAUAAAAGAGACGGAGCAAGAAGCACAAGGCUGGGUAUCAGGAGAUAGCAUCCGAAUCCAAAAUAUCCCACUGAUUUUGCUACUUCAUCUUCCAAGGCCUCUGUCUCCUCAUACAAAGAGGAAGUGGCCUCAUCCCACAGCAAAAACGUGUCAGUCCCACUGUGGUGAAGAUGGGUAACUUGCCAUGAAGAGAAAGAGGAAUGUCAGUUAUGGAAGGCAUUCUGGUCCAGUGGUUUAAACAGAGUACCAGCGAGUUACUGACACAGAAACUCCAAGUUCUAGCCUCUGCAUUUGGGCUGAAUUGAGUGUGGUUGUGCCAGCUCCUUAAUUUCAUACCCUCUGCUCUCUUGGCUGACGAGGUAAUGCCCACAGGACUAGAGAGAAGCACUGCAAUAGAACAGCAAGUGUGUGGUGAUGAGUGCUGUGCUGCCAUCAAUUGAAAUGCUUCCUACAUGGGACCCAAGAAAAUAAAGAGAAUUUCUCUCACUUUGAAACUGAAAGGUAGAGCAAAGAUGAGUUCCCUCAGUGGGUUAAGAACCUGACAUAGUGUCUGUGAGGGUUAGGGACCUGAGUUGCUGCAAGCUGGGGUGUCAUUCACAGAUGUGGCUCUGAUCCUGCCUUGCUGUGGCUGUGGUGAGGAGCAUAGAUUUGGCUCUGGAACAUCCAUAUCUCACAGGUGCGGCGAAAGAAAG